UACGAGAUAUAUCAGUGGUCAGAUUGUCGGUCUCAUACGCCGAAGGUCGUGGGUUCGAAUCCCACUCUCGUAA
rnacentral:tRNA from 1 species